CUUUCCAGCCAUCCUACAGGAAAGCCAUAGACUGGCAGCCAAAAGUGGAGUGGGCUGCGGAUGGGUUGGGCGGGGGGCACAAAGUGUCUGAGGGACAACACAUUUUCCCAAACUUUCCCUUUUCGGGAUAUGGUAUACUGGAGGGAAAACUGUCGCACUGGAGCUGGACACUCUCAAGAUGGAAGAUUUGUGUGGACCCUGAAGGCCAGGAUGGGGAGUUUGUUUCUAUCUUUGGUUAUCUAGCUGUAUGAGUGUAAAUAAGCCGUCAUAAAGCUAGAUAACCGAAAGUAGGAAUCACUUCCAAGGCGUCACCUUAGCCGCAGCCAUGCAGGGAGAAUGCCAGCCUGACACCCCACUGCCAAUCAGCUUCAUUCCAGGAAAAAUGCCCUGGUGAUAAAUACUCUGAAAAAUGCUGCACACAGAAGAAAAGGAGUUAAAAUGUCACAGCAGGAGAAUUCAAAAUGGCCUCCGUGAAUAAGACAGCAGACUGAAUCCCCAUCCCUGUGUGGGUUAUGCAAUUCCGCAAAUAGGAAGCAGAAGAAACAUUAGUAUCAACAGCUUGUUAAUUUGACCGUGCGUAUGAGAAGCUCAUCACCAUGUGGUACUCUCGCUGAUCAAGAGAAUAUACGAAUAUGACGAGGCCUAAUUGAGACGAAAAUUUUGGCCCAAAUGACAUCAGUUUCUGGAUUCACCACAAGGAAGAUACUGCUUUGUACUUGGAGGCCAUUUUGAUGGAAUCAAAUGAACAUUUUAAGAUGGCCGCUUGGGCAUGAGGUUAAAAGAAGAUCAAGGGAUCACAAGACUUCAUCACAAUCUCCUCUGACUGCUGGGAGAUGUUCAGUACAUGUGCAGCCUUUAUUUGUGCAACUCAAGCAUGAAAAUUACAUCUCCCAGCUAUAAUGGGCUAGAUGUCAUGAUUACGCACUAUUCAUACAACGAUGGACUGUUUCUCAUUUAAGAUAUUAUCUACAAUGAGGUCCUCAUGAAGACAAACUGAAGAUACAGCUUCACUAAAGCAGACAAACAAAUAUGUUGAAAAGGUUUCAAGAGAGUGCCAUAUGCUGGCCAUGCAUUAUACAUGACAAUAUUUCAGCAUAGCUACUGCAUCCCAUCUUACUAAGAAGAUCUAAGGAAAAAUGGACAUUAUCUGCGAGGCACCUCUUUUCACUGCACAUUUUUAAUAUGGCUUCAAAAUCAGUUUGAAAAGACCUGGCUGUGUUUCCAGAAAAGUGCCAUGGUAUUCAAUUUCACUGACUGCUAAUAUUAAUUAAAUGAAGCAUAGUAUGUUUUCCUUGCCAAGUGGUAAAAAUUCUCUUCAAUCACCCGCUCAAGAUAAUAUGCUCAAGAUAAUAUUAUCUAUGGAGUAUUCAAUAGGAAAUAUUAUAUUCAAACUGUAUUUAGAGAGAUAUCUUCUGUGAAAUGCAUUCAAACUUUGUGUGCCACCUUUCUAAAGGCUGACAAGCAAUUUUGAAUUUAGGAGACCUUACCUGAAAAGAACUACAUGCCACAUAUACAAUCUACAGGUUGAGGCCGCAAGUUGACUGGAAAGCUGUCCCUGUGAGGCCCUUCUGGAGGUCAUGUCCUACAUAAUUCUCCUAUGGAUUAGGAAUUAAAAAAGAAACAUACAUUUUGAGAGAAAACAUUACAAAGAAAUAAUAUAUAGCCUAAUAUGUGAUCUUAUCAAAUUGUGUUAUACAUAUCCGUAAAUAUUGUCUUUUUACCCUGAAACACCAGUUGAUGUUUUAUGGGCUUUCUCACUGAUCACCUGACAGGAAAUAAAUGCACGAAGAGUAUGAGUAAAAUACAUAUCCAUGUGCCCUUGGUCUGUGUGUGGGGACAGUAACUAAUACCACCCAGAGGGACAGAAACUGGAGUUUCAAAUGGCAGUGUUUCAGUAUAGGAUUAUCCAAUGGUGCAUACUUUUAGAAAAAUAUUUUUUUUUUAUGAAAAUACAAGAGGUGACUUGAUGGGUGAUUAGAUAUGAUCAAAAUAAUUUCUAAUUUGACAAAUCAUACUGUGAACAGGAAGCUGAGAAUGGUUGUGUCUUAAUUUCCAAAACAGCAAAGGGGGAGAGGUGUAACCACAAGUGGGUUUUACAUCACUUUUAUGUGACACAUCACCUCCAUCUUAGGAAAUGUCACUUUAGGACAUAAUACAUUUGCCUAUUAAGCCGAAUAACAGCCAUAUUGUUUCUGCUGAUUUUAUGUGAAUACCUGAAAAGAAUCAGAUUUGAAAAUAAUUACCCAUACAAAGAAGAUAGGUGCCAAAUGGAUUCUUUCAUGUGUAUCAAUUUGAAGGCAUCUCUAUGUAUUUUUAUGGGAAACAGAAAAGUGUAGGAAAGAAACCUGUAAACAACUGUAAUUCUUUAUUACAACACUGUUAUUGAAUUCGGAUUAUCUGGAAAUGAUGUUAUAUAUUAACAAUUUGUUUGUUAGUUGCCCAUUGUAAAUCUUAUUUAUGUUCUUGAAUUUUUGAGAAAUAAACUUUUCUAUGUAUCAUU